GGUAUUUUGACCGUGCAAAGGUAGCAUAAUCAUUAGUUUUUUAAUUGAAAGCUGGAAUGAAAGGUUGGAUGAGAAAUAAGCUGUCUCUAUUUAAUUUUAUUAGAAUUUUAUUUUUAAGUAAAAAAGCUUAAAUUUUAAUAGAAGACGAGAAGACCCUAUAGAGUUUUAUUUAUUUUUUAAAUAAGAUUAAUAGUAUUAAUUAUUUUUGUUUAAAUGAUAAAUUUGGUUGGGGUGAUUGAAAAAUUUAAUAAACUUUUUUUAUAUAAAUACAUUGAUAUAUGAUUAAUUGAUCCUUAAUUUAAGAUUAAAAGAUGAAAUUACCUUAGGGAUAACAGCGUAAUUUUUUUUGAGAGUUCUAAUCGAAAAAAAAGAUUGCGACCUCGAUGUUGGAUUAAAAUAAAAUUUUGGUGUAGAAGCUAGAA
rnacentral:rRNA from 1 species